CCCAGCGACCCACCCCUGGUUUAACAGUGACCUUGGAGCUACGCUUGGAAGGCUUAGAUUUUUAUCAGUUAUUGAUUUCACUGUACACAUGCACAAAUCAAUGAAAAAUAUUUCCAUCAAUGAUAAUCACAUUUUACAGAUGCCAUACUGCUGUCAGCAGAUGGUGCAGUAGGACUGCUAACCAUCGUCGUCAUCUACCACUUCCGCUGCAACCCUACUCUCCUGAUGCCAGGAAUCCACCUCGCAGGCCCUCUUGUCAUUCAGUAUAAAUAUCUAUUCUCGUGGCAUCCAUCAUCAUCCACCGCUUCCACUGCAACUCUGCUGUCCUGCAGACGCCACACCAUGGCAAGCAUGGAGCCUGCUCAGCUCACCGCUGCUGUUGUGAGCAUUGUAAACACCGCGCGUUAUCCUGCAGUAUGUGCAGAACCUGCAAAAGCAAGCAAGGAGGUGACGACAGUGCGAUCACAAUAGUGAUGAGGACAUGGACACAGACUUCUCUCAAAGCACAGGCCCUGGCAAUUUGGACAUCAUGGUGGCAAUCGGGCAGGCUCGUGCCAUGGAACACCAAUUCUGGGCCCGGGAAACAAGCCCAG